rnacentral:other from 1 species
UUGUCCCUGCGGUGUUCGUGACUUGACCAUAUAGUCUCUGAACCGAUGCUUUUGGCAUUUAGGUCGCUGGUUAGUCAGGUGGGAAUGCACGUCUCUAGUCAGAUGAGCUCGAAGCCCGUCACGAGGCGACCGACCUUGAACCUAGGGUUCGAGAUGCCGGUCUGGACGGCAUUCGCGGGGCUUUU